UGCUGUGGCAACCAGGCAACACACUUACUUCCGGCGUGACGUCGCCACGCUCUGCUCAGCUCAUCGGCGAUGCUAUUAGACGGUGAGUCUGCUGAUGUAACUUGAGCAUCACCCGCCACCGCGACUUUACAGCAACACCCGGGGGAGGUGGAGAGGGGAUGUCCCACUCUGCACACUUGUCACACACGUCCACUUCCACACCCGAGUGACAUGGCCUCGCCAAGGCGGCCCGGUCUGGGAUGCGGAGACAUCGCUAAUGUGAUGCAAAAACUGCAGGGUCAUGCCACAGCAUCUCAAUAGGAUUCAGGUCAGGACUUGGACUAGACCACUCCAAAGUCUUCAGCCAUUCAGAGGUGGACUUGCUGGUGUGUUUUGGAUCAUUGUCCUGAACCCAAGUUGGUUUCAGCUUGAGGUCACCAACA